CCUACGGGAGGCAGCAGUGAGGAAUAUUGGUCAAUGGACGAGAGUCUGAACCAGCCAAGUAGCGUGAAGGAUGACUGCCCUAUGGGUUGUAAACUUCUUUUAUAUGGGAAUAAAACGUUCCACGUGUGGGAUUUUGUAUGUACCAUAUGAAUAAGGAUCGGCUAACUCCGUGCCAGCAGCCGCGGUAAUACGGAGGAUCCGAGCGUUAUCCGGAUUUAUUGGGUUUAAAGGGAGCGUAGGUGGAUUGUUAAGUAAGUUGUGAAAGUUUGCGGCUCAACCGUAAAAUUGCAGUUGAAACUGGCAGUCUUGAGUACAGUAGAGGUGGGCGGAAUUCGUGGUGUAGCGGUGAAAUGCUUAGAUAUCACGAAGAACUCCGAUUGCGAAGGCAGUUCACUGGACUGCAACGGAAACUGAGGCUCGAAAGUGUGGGUAUCAAACAGGAUUAGAUACCCGAGUAGUC
rnacentral:rRNA from 1 species